CCUCCUCCAGUUCCUCCCUUCUCGCUUCACCGUCUCCUCCUCCGACCUCCGCUUCUGCAUCUCCCGCGUCCUCACCCCCACCCAGCCGGCCCAACAACACAAUACUACUAAUACUACUAUUGUAUCCAUCUCAGCUGCUGCUGCUACGUCACCCCCUCCGCUUCUCUCGCCGCCUCCCCCGCCUUCGGAGUCGGUGCAACCCAACGGCAUGAUCAAGCGCGUGUUCGGCACUCACGGCGCGGCGGCGUACAGCUACAUCAACAUGGGAACUUACAGAGGAGGAAUGAACACUUUUGCUAUAGUGGGUCUAGCCUCCAAGCCUCUCCAUCUCUACUCAAACCCGACGUACCAAUGCCGGUGGAUCCCAACCGUCAACUCCUCCGCCGUAGUCUCCGCCGUCGGAUACAAGAUCCUCCCCGACUGGGGCUACGGGAGGGUCUACACCGUCGUGGUGGUGAACUGCACAUUUUCUCAGGACGUUAAUUCCGACAACUCCGGCGGGAAGCUGGUCCUUUUGGCCUCAACUUCUGGCGGCGGUGACCGGAAUCUCAACGUCACCGAUGAGAUUGAGGCGUUAACAGAAAACCCAGGAAGCUUAAACCCUUCAAUCUUUACUUCCAAGCCUAAAUAUGAUUAUUUUUAUUGUGGGUCUUCUUUGUAUGGGAAUUUGAGUCCUCAGAGAGUGAGGGAGUGGAUUGCUUACCAUGUGAGGCUGUUUGGGCCCAGAUCUCAUUUUGUGAUUCAUGAUGCUGGUGGGAUUCAUGAGGAGGUUUUGGAGGUGUUGAAGCCAUGGAUGGAGUUGGGGUAUGUGACUUUGCAUGAUAUAAGAGACCAGGAGAGGUUUGAUGGGUAUUAUCAUAACCAGUUCAUGGUGGUGAAUGAUUGUUUGCAUAGAUAUAAGUUCAUGGCUAAGUGGAUGUUCUUCUUUGAUGUGGAUGAGUAUAUCUAUAUGCCUCCCAAGAGCACCAUCAAAACUGUGCUGGAUUCUUUGGCUGAAUACUCACAGUUCACCAUUGAACAGAUGCCAAUGAGCAACAAGCUCUGCCUGCUUGAAGAUUAUCACAAAACUAACAGGUACAUACAUCAUCACCAAACACCCCGAAAUUUUUAUGGUCAAUUUGCUAAUCUGAUUUUGACAUGUGGGAUGUCUUCAUUAGAUCAAAUUGUGAAUUGAAUUGGCAUAUGCAUGUUAGUUUAGCAAUCUCAUUCCAUUGUUUUGUGAUCAAAGUUCUCAUGUAAUUGGGGGCAUUGGAUUCCUACUAGCAUGGACAUGAUUGAAGCAGCAUUAUGGGGUUCCUGUAGAUCAACUUUAGGGUCAUUGUUUCUUAUGGUGGUAGUGUCUUUUGGAGCUUUUUGCAUUUUUAUGUUAAAAAUGAGUUUGUGACAAUUAUUUUGGCACGUUCUUCUGCAUUUAUUGAAGAUUCCUGCUUUGAUAAAUUUUACUUGGGCAGGUUGUGGUGGCUUGAACUUUGUUCUCAAGUGGGUGUUUCUUAUUGAUCAUUAGGGUUAAUUAAUAGUAUUAUCACCCAUCUUUCUGCAAGUGUCACUUUUUUGUGAGAAGCAUCAGAACCAGUCUUAAAAAAUAGAUGUUACUUGCCCUUUAUAAGAUACAACAGUGAGAAUGAUCAGAAUGGAUAUUAUUUGGUUUUGGUAGUGGAAAUCUAGUUGUGUGAAGAAGAUCUGAACUUGGGUUGUUAGAUCCCUAUUAGGACUGAUUUCAAUAGCCAGUUUUCCUUAUACAAGAUAAACUUACAAUGCUCAAAUGAUGUUGUUUAUGGAAAUGAAAAAUGGGAAAGUAGUGAAUAAGUAAGGAGAAAGACAACAAGAAAUAGUGUAUGUUGUUUGAUUAUAGAAAUUAAUUGAGAUUAAGACUGUUGCUGAUGUUGACCAAAGAAAAAUAAACAUGUAAUACCAUAUUGGAAGAUUAGGACUGAUUUGUUGGGACGUAUGUUUAUUUUCGUGACUAGAUCUGGAUACUAAUAUAGACGUUAGUCACAAGAAGUUUCCAAUUACAAUAACCAUGUGAAGUGUUGAACAUUAGGCUCUAAAAUUCUCUGUUCUUGACUUAAGCAUAUUCUCAUUUGUGUGUAUUCUUGUGCUAGCUCACAUGCUAAUGUGUUUUGCAUUCUUGAUGGUACAGAAAAUGGGGAUUUGAAAAACUUGUGUACAAAGAUGUGAAGAGAGGCAUAAGAAGAGACCGGAAAUACGCGGUGCAACCGCGCAAUGUGUAUGGCACCGGGGUGCACAUGUCCCAGAACAUAGCAGGGAAGACGACACACAAAACUGAGAACAGGAUCAAGUAUUUCCAUUACCACGGAACCAUUGCAGACAGGCGCGAGCCAUGUAAGAAGCUGAUCAAUGACACACAGAUCUACCUUGACAAAGUCCCUUAUGUCAUAGACACAACCAUGAGAGAUGUUGCUGGGGCUGUGAAGAGAUUUGAGCUCAGAAUGAUUGGAUCCAGGUUACAACAGACUAGGCAAUGAUAGAACAAAACAUCAUCUUCCCAUUUUUUCAGAACCUUUUUUUUUAUUUUUUAUAUGUGAAUCUUUAAUUUAUAGUUGCGGUAGAGAAAUUCUUUUUGGGGGGUUCUUCCUUGUAUGAUAGUUCCAGUAAAGGUAUAAAUUACAGGUUGGUAUAUGAAUAUGAUCACUAUGGUUUUUGAGAAGUUUUUUCAGAGGUGUUCAUAUUCUAAUUCUUUAUUUAUUUGAUUCUUAACAAUAGAUUAUGGUCAAUGAUUAAUCAUAUUGAUUGUUUGAUUGAAGUGUCGGUAUGAAUUUAGUUAGUUAUUUUAAGGACCACACCAGCACUGAAGCAAUUGAAGGUGGCUUUGGUGGCAAAAGUGCUUUUCAUAGCUACUUUCCCUUUCAUUUUGCAACUCCUUCCACACAAUUUGUUUUUGUCCUCCUGGAUUUAUUCAUGCUUCGCUUUUCUAUCCAUGAACUUAGAAAAAGAUUUCCAGAAUAUUAUGGGCUAGCUUUUUACAUUUCCAAGCAUCACAUUUUCUGAGAUGAACUUUGGCUUUGUGCAGCCCUCAAAGAUUAAUCUUAAAGUUGUACUAUAUGUGAGUUUUGAUAAACAUUGAGCUUUGGAAUAAUUCACAAAGAGUUAGGCUUUAUCUAUGCCUCUAUGGGAGAUCAAGUCAAAAGAGGUGGUGGGUGAUAUGUCUCAUCCUUUUAGCUAAUGUAACACAUGGACUGAAGGGAAGUAAAGCAAAGAAUGAAUCAACAAUGGCUUAGAUAAAAACUGUCCUCUUGCUUAUAGAGUAUUCCCUCGCCUAUGUCUUUUAGAGUUUGCUUUCUUUUACAUUUCAUUUUCAGGUUCCCCACACCAGUCUUCAAUCAUCACCUAACGGGACAUGUGUGGUUCUUGUAUGGUGUAUGGUGUAUGAUAAUAAUGUAACUUGUUUUAGGCUCUACUAAAAGAGUUUAUUAAACAAUUCGACAUACUACAUGUUUUACGAACACUUGUUCGAACUUCUCAGGUUGAUCGAUAUUCUAUCACAUUAGAGCAUUUUUAUUUUUAUUUUUUUAUUUAUAGUUAUUUUAGAAAACAUGUUUAACUUUUUCAUCAAAUUUAGUUGUUGCACUAGACUCUUAAGUGACUCUCCAUUAGAACUUAAGUGGUCAUAAAAAGAGGUCAAAUAUCAAUUUUCGAGGUAUAAAUAGAAAUUCUCUUACGUAAUGUCGCUGCUUAUUUUGCGACGUAAACAUGCUAAAUAAAAAACAAAGAGGAGCUUAUAUUAAAAUAGAUACAAAGACGACGACAGUAGCUGAGGAGGACUUUAAGCCGAUUUUUGGUUUGAAAAAUAAAAACAAGAAGGCAAGGACCCGUGAAGAAGCCAACGAAGGAGAGACUGCCGACUGAAGAAGAAGACCCCCUCCUCCAUCCUUGGCAUGAAGAAAUAUUAAUGCAAUACAUAUAUUUUAUAAGCUCAAAAACUUUGGGAGCAUAUGCUUCACAGUAUGAGUCGGUCCAAGAUCGUAUAAGAAUAAUGUGGCAGAUUUAGAGGGAUGACAACCCACAAAAUAAUGGAUGGUGGGUGGGUUUGGUGACCCCAGUGAUGAAUAUGACCUAAACUGAUCGAUCUAGGUUUGAUCCUGCAGCUCAUGCCUUUUGAAGCUUUAUAAUAAAUGGUAUUGGUCUGUAAGUUCUGUAACAUUAACAUAAGGAUUUAAUACCUUACCGUCUGGUGGAGGGGAAGUAGAGCAUUGGCUUUAUGAUCCAGACAAACUGGGUUUUACGUACUUAGUGAAGUGUGUGUGGAUCUGGGUAUUAGUUUUUCUGAGGUAGGUUACUUCUGCAUCACUCUGCCUCUUUCUUUACACAAAGUACAAGAAAACCCAGACCAAAUUCUUUGCAGAUUCUCUGGCAUUGAGAUUAUAUAUUGUUAAUGAUUCUUUGCAGACUUAAUUGCCUCCUAAUCAAGAGGCUAAAGUGAUGAUUAACGGGGAUAGCUUUGUCCAGGGUAAAGCUUAGCUCGCCAGAAACUGUUGCUCAAGAAUAUUAUUAUCUCUGUAUUAUUAAAGGAAACAAAUACAAUAAGAGAGAGACAACAUUAUUUGGAAAAACAAAACAUGUGGUUGAUUGCUUCCAUGUGAGAAAGAGGCCGUGUGAGGUUGUGAGCUAGCUAAGAGAAAAUGUGUCACUGUUUGUUAGCAUUGCUAUCGAAUUAGAGUUUCUGUAUUGUGUACGAGUUUGGGGUUAAAAUGCAGAAGAUGAUGGAAUGGGGUUUAGGCUGGUUAUGCGUAGCAAGUUGUUGUAUGAUUGGUGUCAACAAUGGCCGCCGUAGAUAGAUGAUCAAGAGUCCAUGCCGAUGGAGCGGUGGAGGUCUGCGUUGCCAUGCAGCUGGCAUUGGUAGCUUCGCUUUCAACUUCCACAUUUGUUUUUGUCACUAUUAUUUGCAUUUUUUUUUGUUUAAAAAAUAUCUGCCGCAGAGAUCUCUCUAGACUCAGGGUUCGGACAUUAUUCAAGUAAUGACUCCUUUUAUGUCCCGUACCAUUUUUCUUAGUCUAGCGAUAUAGUCUUCUCUUUACAAGUGAGUAAGAGGUCAUAAGUUCGACUCACAAAAGACUCGUUGUAGUAUUUUAGUUGUUUAACUAAUAAAAAUAAAUGACUUUUUCUAUCAUGCACUUAUGAGUUAUGAGUUAGGAAGAUAAGUGACGAUUCACAUAUCCGUUCUUCAGUUGUUGAAGACAAGAUAUGUUUCUCCUCCCCUCACCUCUCUUGUUCCUAGCUUAUUAGCAUUCAACGACCAGAACUUUGAAAUAAUUAUAGAAAAAAAAAAUGUUCAUAUUCAAAGCCGUGGAAAUUAGAUACUUUGGCAAGUUUACCGUGUAAGAUUAACCGUCUGCCAACACUUUUGAUCUCGAUGACGACGAAGUGUGUAUCAUAAUCUCUUUAUGUCCAAGCCAAGCUACGAUGAAUUGAUAUGAAAGAAGAACGAGUAAAACGAAUUGAUAGUCGACGAGCUAAUCCAAGUUUGUUCACGGUCAAAAAAAUAGUGCCGGCACGUCACAUGAAGGCAUUCAUGUCUAAAAGCAUGGUUUACCCAAUUCGUGUUGGCCUGUCACUCGUCUCUAAAUCUUGUCACGGUGAAAUUUGGUUAUACGAAUUUGAAAAUUUUGCAGAAGUUUAUAAUGCUUGGCUCUAAUGGCCAAAUCUUGAUCAUGAAGUAGGACGAUUUUUAGAAGAAGUUUCGUAGCCGAAGCAAGGUCGGUCGUUGUGAGUUAUGAUUGAAAUUUGGUCAUGGUAUUAAUGGUCCCUCGUUCCAAUUAACAAAGUCCAGCUCUUUCUCUUUGGCUAGGGAACCUAGGCCAAGACUUUGAUGCACAUAAUUGUGACAAUACACAGUUGUGAAUUUGAUUUAAUACGAGUUUUGAUUGAUGAACAUAUCUCUUUAUCUCCAUUCACAAAUCUCCAUUCACAAAUAGACUGAACAAUUAAUUUUAUCUUUUUUCUCAUGUUUACAAAUCAAUUUCAUAAAUUGUCAUUUUCGAGAGUCAAUUUACUAAUUGCUCGAUCCUGAUUUUUGAAAGCUCAUGUCAUGUUUCACAGUAUUCAUUUCAACACAGUAUAGUUUUUUUUUAGAAAGGUAAAACUUUAUAUAAUAACAACCAAUGUUACAACUUACAACCAUAAAAGAAACAAAUAAGUCUCCACACUCCUAUUUACCAACACACCAGCGACUACAACGAACAUAAUAUAAUUUAAGGCAUUUACAUAAUUAAUACAGGAACAUAAUCAAUAAAUUAAUACAGGAACCUGUCGAUGUUCAGCCCGACAAGCCUAAUAAGUGAUUAGUUUAACAAAAUGUUUCGGUGACAAUGGGCAACAAGUAAAGGCAUAUGUAGUACUAGAAAAAACAGUAGGUUUUUGAAUUGAGGCUUACAGAGAUAAUAGUGGCCCAAGAUUCUUAAGCCCAGCCUAAUCCAAACCAAAAAGAAGGAUUUUUUCUUUUCUUUUUCUGAGAUGAAAGUAUGAUCAUGUUAACUUGUUAAGUGGUUACAAAACAGACUCCGGCCAAACCCUAAACCCUGACAAAACAGACUGUAUCAGUAUCAGUAUCAGGUUCACUUUCCUCCUAUUUUGUUCAAGUCGUGUAUACACAUUUUCGCCAAUUUAGUACUUUCGUCAGUUCGUGUAUACAAGAAUUUUUGCUAAUUUAAUACCAAGGACUACUUUUACUACUAAAACGUUUGUAAUACUGAAGAAAUGUAAUCAUCUGGAACAAUGGAACAUCAUGUCAUCUUGUUACGGAGUUCGUUAUGAUCGAAAAAACAAGACCCAUUAUGUACAUGAUUUCACAAAAUGAAAAUACAUUCAUCAAAACUUGUUCAAAUAUACCAAAGGCCAUAUAGUCACGCGCUCUGUGCUUCUAAGAAAGCAUUGAAAUCCUCCCUAGCUUUGCGCAAGCGAGGUGUGAUGCAAGAACCCGGUGAGGCAGGGUAAGAUUUCGGAGAUGAUGUCGAAAACCGAACGUGGCGAGGUGAUUCAUGUGAUCUUCUAGCUGCUGAGGUUCUGGCUGAGCCAUUCUUCAGGACUCCUUUUAUGUCCUUAUCAAAUAGGAAACCUGUAGUAACUGGGGAAUGUGCAUCAUUUACAUUGCCUCUUAUUAACUCCAGAGGCAGAUCAAAGUGACCCAUGGAGUCCUCUAAGUUGCCACUUACCAUGUUUUGAGAAGCCCACGAACCACAUUCAAACUUUUCCAAAGAAACUGAUCUAGAGAUGACAUUUCGAUUUUGCAGUUCGGAUUCUACCUUUCUUGCUCUCACUGGCUUUGCCUUGCCGCCGAAGCCAGGAAGGAACAAGCAGAGAGCUCCACAUUUGAACUCAUCGAUGUCAUCAGUUGGUUCCUUUUUCUUGCCAUUUUCAUGCACAGGUCUGUUGACUUCUGUUUUGGAGAAGCUGGUGUAGCUGGUAUAUGCUCUGUUGACAAUUUCAUUGGCAUUUGGUUGAAUCAGCCAAAGAUCAAAGUCAUCAGGAGCAUAUUCUCUUCCUUCACCGCACGACUUGGUGCGUCGAAAUUGGAGUUCUUGUUGCAGAUGAAGAGGGUUGAAGGAUGCAGAGUGGAGCUGGUUCACAUCCUCAACUUUCUGGGGAGAUACUUGCCUUUCAUUCUUCCAUUUCUUCUUCAGCAAUGAGGCGCCGAAUCGUGGCGAUGAGGUUGCUGAAUUCGGCAGACUUAUGCUUAAAAAAUUAGAAUUUGUAGGAGGCAAUAGCGCCGGCAGUUGGUUCUGUCCUUUUGGCUCUGGAGCAGUAACACCAGCCUGCACUGGAUUAGCACUCUCUUCUCUAUGCAACGAUAUCGGAUCCACAGAAAUCUGCUUUUCCAUCGUUGCGUUCCGAAACCCGUAUCUUGAAAUAUGAAGCAUUUCAUCUGAAACUGGAUUUGCCAUGGUAUGGAAAAGCAGAAAUCCUGAGGAAGAUGGUUUGGCAUUGGACUACUUAAGGAAGAGGGAAAACAGACAAAUGGUUUAGACGUGUGCAGCAUAUUACGAACAGCAACAUCUAGUAGUGAUAACCAUGUUCUCUCCUUAAAAUAACUCUAAUUAUUCUUUAAUCUCUAUGGAGAAAGUUGACUUAAAACAAAACAUAGUUAACUAUACAAAUUGAGUUCCUAAAUAUCAGAGAAGGUAUUGACCUUCCUAAGAGUUUAGGAUGGAGUAUCAAGUUUGUUGAUUUGCUUGCGUCAACUUUAUAUAAGAUUCAUACAUGCAAGCAAUACAGGAAUAUAUGCAAGAUAGACAAAGCAAAUAGUUGAUGGCAAUGUACCAAACAUGACAUUAGCAUUAUCUUUAGGCUAUAAAAACUUGUGUAAAGCUUAUAGGAACAUGACAAUAACACUAUAUUCAAUAUAUAUUGCAAGGCAUAGAAAUCUAUACAUUGAAAUAUAUGACAUUUAGACAAGAUUUCUACUGGAGUGAAUUGUAAAAUAAAAUUAAUACCACCGAUACACCAAUAAUGACUGGAAAAAGCGUGACCAAGUACAGUGCUCCAUAGCCCUGCAAGAUGAGAAAAUGUCUUUAGAACCAUUAGCUAGACCAGAAAACCAUUUAAAACACUAAGCUCUGAAUUAAUUCAUCAAUAAUUAAAUGAGCCGCUUUCUGUAUUGCACAAGGCAGAUUAACAAAUAUCGAUGAGCCGCUUUCUGUCCUUGAAUGAACUAAAUCAAGAACGUAUUAUAGUAAUCUACUUCUAUUGCAAAUUCUAAACAUUACUCACAACAAUGAUUUUUUUAUUUAUUUAUUUUAAUUUUAUUUUUUGCACUUACUGUAAGCCAAAACAUGUAAUAGUGUCCAUUAUUCCACAUUCUUCUUAAUCUGAUAAGUGAACAAACAUGAGAAAGCAAAGGAAACAAACCACAACUGAAGGCACAUCUGAUUCAUCCUUAACAUCAGCAUCAUCAAUCUCCGCAGCUGUAUCCCAAUCAAUGUUCAGUCUCUUAGCAGCCUCUUUAAGAUCAAUACCGGUGUCUGUGACUCUUGCAUAUAGUGAUUUUCCUGGCUUUUUCUUUGCUGGUUUAAUCUGAACCUACAAAGUGACAGAAUUUAAAGCAAAUGAGAAAUGAGAAAUUUUUAAACUGAUCAAAAUUUGAAGCAUCCAGUGAUACCUAAAGUUGGACAGAUAACUAUGGAACAGAACGGUGGUGACCAUCUCAUGAAAAGCGUAUCUUGAUAGUUAAAUGAUCAAUGUUCUGGGUUUUGAGAGGUUCUGUAAAAAGCAUUGAAAAAAAAAAAAUCCUUUUGAUCGAAGAGCUCAGCAGGAUUGUCAUCAUCAAGUGAGUUUCUUACAUGUUGACAAAAUGAAAACAGAUUAUAGUUUUCAGACAGGUUUAUUUUGAUUUGGCUGUAUCACACCCUCUCAACCAGCAACAAGUCUUUCCCAGGGUAGAAAGAGUGACCAUCAGGACCCAAAAAUCGAUAAAGUGCAAAUCAAUUGAGAUUAUAUACAGUAUACACACAAACUAUCAUAUUUACCAGUCAUUACUAAUAGUCAAGUUACAAUAAUACCUCUAGAUUGGGCCAUCGAUUCAUUUCCUCAGCUAGCAGUUUAAGUGCAAGUCGAUUUUUGGGGAUUUUCCCCUCAUGCACCUACAUCAUGAGUCACAUAUUAGGGCCAUGAUCCAUAUAUUUGCUCUUUUCAAAUUUCAGCAUCUCACAAAUCUCAAAGAAAAAGUAUCCUUCUGCCAAAAAGACUAAAUAUCAAAGCAAAGAGCAAUGACAUGUUCACUGGCUUACAAACUUAUACAACUUUGGUCACUAAUAAUACAGUUACAUACUGUGAAAUCUUCUUUCUUCAUCAUACUCAAGGCAACAAGGCUUUAUCAGACAAUUAUCAGUUGGAACUCUCUUUUCCACUCAUGUAUAAGCUAUAAUGGAAUAAACUUAAACAAGGCACAGCUGAGAACAUGUUUUGCAACAAGAAAGUUCCAUAUAAAACUUAGUGAUGACAGAGAUUUUAACAAACCCAAGUUUGUAAAAAACUUACUGAUAACCAGUACUCCAUUCUUUUGAGACUUGAAACGCAUCAUAAGAUACUAAUAUUCUAGUUCUACUCAUCCUUUAUACAUUGCUUCCUAAUUACUGAUAUAAUACAAUCCAGCGCCAGAGAAAAUAUAUACUUGUUUGAGUGACCGCACUACAUAGUGAAAUCUUUUGAUGUGUCACAAAUGAAAUGAAAUUAUUUGAUGAGUAACAUAUGCCAAACAUGCGUGUACCGAAGAAUGCCUCUUAAACUUGCCCUCAAUUUUCAGACUGCGUCUACGCAGUUUGCGAGUAAUUGGACUAGAUUUCCCCCCACCAUUUGAUCCUAUUUUCAUUGCAUUCAUAUAUUAUUUGAUUGAGAAUAAAGAAAUAGUGUGAAAUGUGAUGAGAACAUUGUAACCAAAACCAUCCACAAAUGCGCUAAUUUGGCAGUUCAACGAAUUGUGCCAUUCGCUUUACAAUAAGCAAUAAUAAGCAAAGGAAUUUAAAAGGUAGUACGUACUUCUUCAAGAACAGCAGCAAGCUCUUCCCUGGUGGGAGCAUCAGGAUCCUCAAUGCCAAGGAGUCUCUUCCGCUCUACUUCUCUUAUGUCCUCAAUCGCAAUAGUAAGCUUAACCUUCAUAUUCCACGACAUUGCAAAGUAAUCGAGAUUGAGAAACUCAAACAGUAAAGAACAAAGAAAUGCUCAGUCAAACUGUAUUGAUACCUCAUUGAAGAUCAUGUCUCUGUUCUUCUUAAGAAGCUCCAACACCUAUCAACAACAAGACCGAGCAUUAGGGCCAAGUGAACAGACACCCACGAAUCUACGAACUUAAGCAGCGUACUUACCCUUUUGAUUUGGCUGAUGUAUUCGAGGUCUUCAGGAGUAGGGUCGCUUUCUUCUUCUUCGUCAUCGUCUUCAUCUUCAUCUUCUUCUUGAUCAUCUUGGUCUUGUUGGGUAGUCCAAGAUGACGACGAAGAUGAUGAAACUUGCAACUUCCUAUCUGGGUUUGCGGCGAGUAGUACUGUGGGCCUUGGUCGGCGGCGGCGGAGAGUGAGCUGAGGCCGUGAAGGGUGGCAAUGACAAUGGUUGAACCACACUGGGAAGGUUUGGGACGAAGAAGAAGAUGAGGAGGAGGAAGCGUGUGGUGCGAGUGGCGCCAGUUGGAGCAUUUGGGAAGUCGUCGUCGUCGUCAUCAUCACUGCUCUCGCUCACUGGAGCUGAAAUCUUUCAGAGGCUUCGUUGCAUUCCGAGUGUGUGUGUGUGUGUGUUCUGGGUAGAAUUACAUGCAUUGGUUAAUUCUAUCCUCAACUUUUCUCUCCUUUUUACGUUCUAUUUUACUGGUCGAUCAGUUCAUCUAAGAAUUACUAUAUGCCUGUGGGUUUUAAACUAGUAUGCAAGUCCAAUCCGAAGUGAUAGGAUAUUAGGAUAUGAGGUCCAAUUAUAUCAUUGGGUUUUUUCCUUCGCAUCGAAAAAAAGAUUGGGUUUUCCUUCGUGUAUUUUUCUUUUUAAAGUUGCAAACUUCUCUUUGCCACCAUCUUGGAUGCGUUGUGAAAAUAUUCAAACUGUAAACACAGUAAAAACAACUUUCAUAGUUGUUAAAUAAUACUUUUCAAAGCGGUGUGAAGACCGAAGAAAUUUUGGUAAUCAAUAAAAAGAAAAUUAUCAAAGGACUUUCAUAGGAAUUUUUAUAAAUUUACGUUAUCAAAAGUAUGUAUUGGAAGAAUUUAGACACACAUAUACAUAAUAGUUUAAAUGUAAGAUGAAGGAUAACAUGAGACUGGUCAAGUUUCACGCAUGCAUUAGGUAGUUUUCUCCCAAGUCCAGAAGAGAGAGAACAAAACUUUAGUGGGCACAUAAUGCAGACUCCCCAACCCAACCUAAAUUAAUUAACAAGAAUGAUGAUCAAAUGAGAUUCCCCAAAGUUUUUCUUCUUUGACCUCAUUGUCUCACUUGGACUUGUCUUACAAUAACCUGUCUGGAAGAAUUCCUUCAGGUUUCCAACUUCAAACACUGGAUAAUUCAUCCUACUUGGAGAAUCCAUUGCUCUGUGGUUUUCCUCUUUCAUCCAAGUGGGAGGGAGAUGACCCCCAAAGAAAUCAAACAUUUUCAGGAGGAGACAGUGAAGAUGAUAAUGAAAAGCUUGGUUUCUAUAUCAGCAUGGUCCUCGGGUUUGUCAUAGGUUUUUGGGGUGUUUUUGGGACGUUAGUCAUAAAGAAGUCAUGGAGAUAUGCAUAUUUUCAAUUCUUUGACAACAUCAAAGAUAAAAUAGCACUAGCAAUUGCCUUGAAAAUAGCUUGUUUGAAAGGAAGAUUUUAAUCGGGAAAGAUAUCUUGUCAUAUACAUAAUAAUUAGAUAUAAUGUAUGUUUUUUUCUUGUAAAUAUACACUAAUGUAAUUCCUUACUAGCUAGCUUUAUAUUAUUGUUCUUCUUUUGGGUUGGCUUUGGUUUGACCCUCCAUCACAUAUGUACCUUCUGAUUUUUAUCAAUAAAUUCGAAGGGGGCGUGGAGUUAGUCCCUUCUCGCUUUCAAAAUAAAAGUAGAAAAAAUUAAGGUAUGAUGCUAACUUGAUGUUCUUAAACUUCUGCGGUUUUCUGUCUUUGCAUACAUGUUUCAAAUUAAAUGAAACAAUGACAUCUUUUUAUCACAUGGCAAGAAAAUGGUUCGAGAUUCAUUAGUUGCGAAAUGUGAACUCAUGAUCACUAUUGUUUCAUUUGGAAAUUAAAACCUAACAACGUACUCUCUGGAUCUCUGGAGCCAAACUUUUUGGUCCAAAACUUGAAGCCCAAGAUAAAGAAUCAUGCAGAGGCUCAAAGCUGACCCCAUUCAUUCAUCUCUCUUGCAUAAAGAUUACACUUUGCGUUUUACAAUUGUGUGUGCGUGUGUAUAGCUAGCUAGCUUUAAACAUAUGCUAAUGGUACUAUAUAUGAAUUGGUACGUGAAUACGUGAUACAUGUGUAUGCAGCAAAUCAGGGGCUGAAUAUCAUUCAAAAAGAUAUUAUUCCAACUGCGAACUUCCCCAAUGCGCUAAUAUGGAAUCAAAUUAUACAUAAAAGCUUCGAACAACGAUGACAUCUAAUUCCCCAUUCAUGUUUCCUCUCCAAAGUCUCAAGACUAGAAUAAGAGCAUGCAAUGUAUGUCCUCGCAGAAUUUAUGUUCGACAGGUAGCUAGUAUUCGUACCAUUGCAGCAUUCCUGACCAUUGUUAUUUUUUUCUUCUCUUGGGGCUUUACGGUUUAGAAUAUUGUUUGGAUCCAUCUGAUCGAGAUGUUCCCCGAGUUUUCUUCUCCGAAUUCUCCAAAUGUACUUAUAAUCACACUAAAUACACGCAUGCAUAUAGUUUGCACUAAUCUUUCACAAUGUUAUUUAUCACAAAUUUGCGAUCGUAACUUUAAGUCACUCGUUCGUGCACAUAAAUCAUGUCACGUACAUAAAAUUAUGUGAUUGAAAGAUCGGUAGAGGUGUGGUAGUCGACUAUAUAUAGAAGAGUGAUUAAUUCGGAUAUUUUCCUAUAUAUAUCCUCUUCUAUGAGAAUGGGCAAAAACAACGUGAGUGGAUUUUGUUAUCUCUCGCACAAAGCUUUUGGAGUUUAUGUGAUUACAGCCGUUGUUGCUUUCAAAAGGGAAAAGAGAGAUGAUUUUGUCAUGAUAGUAAUGCAAAUGAAGAGAUAUCAUGCAACUAAUUAAAUGAUAAAUUAGUCACAUUAUGACAAAAAGAAAGUAAAGUUUGCUUUCAAUACCUUUUAAUUAUGAUUGGUUUCAACAUAAAGUACUAAAUAUUACCUUGUUAAUUAUCACUCCAAAAAGUUUAUAACUUGUUAAUCACGAAGAGCAGACAUAUGAAUACAAACACACAGCGUGGUACGACGUCAUAGUACUUUCUCUAUUCAUGCCUCGCUCAUCUAUAUAUGUAUAAAUUAAGAAGAGAAGAAGUGCAUGUUUUUGUUAGAAUCAAAUAUACGAAUCAUUAACCGUAAGUGUAGGAGAAAUUUUUCAGUGGUUCGGGAGGACCACGUGGCAGUCUGACGUGGUCCUACUUUCCAAUCAAAUUUAGACAUGUAGAUUUUCUUUACGAAAAAUUAUUUCAGCUAUUUUGUCAAAGACCAUUUUAGGUUUUAUGUUGUUUUUUUAAUACUAAACCCUAAGCCCUAAACCCCAAACCCUAAACCCUAUACCCUAUACCCUAAACCCUAAACCCUAAACUCUAACCCUAAACUUUAAACCCUAUACCUUAGACCCUAGUUUGAACUUGCUAAAUACCCAUGAAUGUUAUUUUACAAAAAAUAGAAAAUAUUUGUUUAUAUUUUAGUUGUAAAAAAUCCACAUGUCUAAAUUUGAUUGGAACGUAGGACCAUGUCAGACUGUCACGUGGUCCUCCCGUAGCAUUUAAAAAUUUCUAUAAGUGUAGUGCACGGAUGUAUGUGCUUAUUAAUUAAUUAUUUUAUAGUUCAAAUAAAUAUAACACAAUCCCUUUUUUUUUUUUUCCUUUUAUACAAGUGGCUAAGUAUUACACAAUACUAACCAUCACAUGUGGUCGAGUUGGUAAGAGUCUUGGUAUGGAAUGUCACAUCCCGACCCUUAUAUUUUUACCUUAUUUACUAGCGUGAUUAUAAUAAGAAUUUUUACCGUCCCGAUCAUUGAGUAAAUAGUUUAAUUGGUCCCUAGAGGGGUUUCGGGGACGAUUAUGUACGGAGGAUAAUUCGUAUGGGGAAAAUACGACGACGGUAAAAAUAGUAAAUUUUAGCUAGUAAAAGGUAAUUUUUAUUCGGGUAUUAUUUUUUCGGGGUGUUGAAUUUUGGAAUUUUGGGUUAAAAGGAGUGUUGGGUCGGCUGGGCCGAGCCCAACCCAUUUCUUCUUCUUUUCUCUUCUCCCUCUCUCCCGAUUUCCUCUCUUCCCACCCGAGUUUCUUCUCCCUCCACCCGGGAAACUUCACCACCGUCGUCCGCCGCCGUCCGGCCGCCCUAGACCGCCGCACCGGUUCCAAUCGAUCGACCUCCAACCCAGCAGCCUCCCUGGACCGGUGAGAGGAGCCCUAGCGCCGCCGUGAGUGAGCGGUGCCGCCCGAAAGGCUAGGCUGCCCCGAGCUUCCCUUCGCCGGAACUUCCUCCUCCGGCCACCAAUCCGGGCAAGCUUGGUACGGUUUUGUAGCCCUCCUCCCGUGCAACAACCCCUCCAAGCAGCUCCCUCCCUCUUGAGCUAGGUAAGGAGAAAUUUGAGGUGGAAGUUUUAUGGUGUUUAAGUUGUUUUCGUUCGAUUAGCCUAGUUAGGCUUGGAAUUGGGUGAUGUGUUAGUCAUGAAAGNNNNNNNNNNNNNNNNNNNNAAUUUGUGAGUGGACUUUUAUUUGAAAUAAUAUGCAUGCUAUGGUUCAUGAUUGAACGUUUCCUUUUGUUGGAGUUUUGACGUCAAUUAAUUUUGACGCUUUUAUUUCUCUGAGAGAGUUACCGAAAAUGGGAUUUUCGGUGAAUAUAAAUAUGUAUUUAUGAGAGAGUAUGGAUAGAAAAUGCUAGCUAGCCAUAUGUGUCUGUCCACCUUAAUGGCGUAACAUAUAGCCGCAUUAUGGUGUGACGUGAGCGUUGGACGUAAGCGUAGUAGCCCUAUUUGAGUGUUUAAUUCAUAUAGGGGGUAUGGACAUAUAUUUAUACACCCGUCUGUCCACCUUGAUGGCGUAGUGUAGCACCGCAUUAAGGCGUGACGUGAGCGUUGGACGCGAGCGUAGUAGCCCUAUAUAGACCCAUGAAUUUAUAUAGGGAGUAUGGACGAGUGUAAAUACAUACAUAUAUUAUAGAGUCUGAGAGGCUCGAUAUUUUAUGGGAUAAAAGUUUUAUCGCUUGCGGCAUGCAUUCGAUUUUUCCUUAGAAAUUAAUUUGGGGAAACAUAAAUAUUUUAUUUAUUAUUUUAUUUUUGUCCACUCACUCUAACGUUAUUAAAUGUUUUCCCCUAGGCCCUUCGUUUUAAAUUGCCCAGUCUGCAGAGUUCGGGUUGGAUCUAGUAGGAGUCGAGGCAUAGUCACCCGCAUUUCUGCCAGUUUUCGCCAGUAGGUUACCUGUUCAACCUACUUGUGUUUUCUUGCUUCCGUUUGUGUUUAGUAGCUCUGAAUACUUUAGAAUUUUUGUAUAUUAUGCGAUGUUCAGAAGUGAUAAAUUAAGAGUGUAAUUUGAAAUUUUCGAGUUAGGGUUGUCCAUCUGCAAGGGAGAUUUUCUUAAUCUUUUCAGUAAAUUUUCCUUGGAGGUGGUCCCCGCACGACUUACUCUGAGUUUCAGGGUGAAAUUCGGGGUGGGUCGUGUCAUGGAACCUCUAUACUCAGGUUCAAACUCCGCCGAUGCUAAUUGAAGUUAAAUCUCAAUUUAUUGUUGGUGGUCAGGGGGUGGAAACGUUCUGACAUAACCCUUCGACAACUCUAGACCCAGUAUGGCUUUGAGGAUACCGUCGUUGAUACUCUAAAAAAAAGUAUCACAUAAUACUCACUACGUGAGACAUCUGGAAGUAUAUAACUUGAUAUAUUUGAAUCGUAAUUAUAGCUCUCAAUGAAAUACAUACAUUUGCUUUGUACGUUAUAAGUGACUCAUAUUUAGUACUGAAAAAUAAAUAUUUAUACGACUUAGGGAUAUGAAUGACAGUUGAAGAAAAUGAGUACGUGAAAUAUGAAUUUUUGGAGGGAUUUGGUGGUGUGUGAUCGAGAGAUAGAUAUAUACAGAUCCUCCAAAUAUAUAAGAACAGGUGAAGAUAGGUAUAGAGAUGGAGGGGCCGCUUCUGUUGCGGACCUCUGAAUUGUGGAUUAUUUACGGACUUUCAAAACGUGUCCGUUGGAUUACAUGAGCGGCCUACAAGUUGAUGAGUACAACUCCUUUCCGUGUGGUCACAUGCAUCCGAACACAAUCCUCCCCCUCUCUCUCUCUUCAGCGCAUCAGAGCUCCCAACCCAAACACCACCAAAAUCCCAAAAUGGCCGAUCACCACCACCACCGCCCCCACCCCCACCCCCUCUCUCUCCCUCAAUGCCCCACCACCUUCACCUCCACCACUCCCACCACUUCCCGCCAAUACCCACUUUACCCCUUCACCCCCUCCUCCGCCACUCCCUCCAAACACCGCCUCUCCUCUCUCAACCCCAAACCCCUCUUCUCCUCCUCCUCCGCCGCAAGCAAAUCCUCUCUCUCAUUCCUCUUCCUCCUCCUCCUCUCCCUCCGAUCACUCUACUCCCUCCUCCCCUUCCUCUGCUCCUCCCCUUCUUUCUCUCUCUUCCCUUUCUCCUUCCUCUUAACCCUAGCUUUCUCUCUCUUCGAUUCUUCUGGCCAUGGGAGUGAGGUCAGCAGCAGUGGCCGGUGUGGUUGGAGGAGGUCUAGCUGUGGGUUGGGAGCUCUGAUGCACUGAAGAGAGAGGGGGAGGAUUGUGUUCAGAUGCAUGUGACCACACGGGAAGGAGUUGUACUCAUCAACUUGUAAGCCGCUCAUAUAAUCCAACCGACACGUUUUGAAAGUCCGUAAAUAGUCCGCAAGUCAGAGGUCCGCAACAGAAGCAGCCCCUAGAGAUGGAUCCACUUAUUCAUCAUAUAUUUCACUUAAAGCAAUGAUUAAAACAGUUUUACUAACUUACAAGGUUUGAUUUAAACGUACUAUGAUGGAAAGACAGAAUAUCCACAUCUAUCACUAUCGCUUCAUAUUUUCUGCUUGUAGUCUUGUACACUUUGAUAGUUUGAUUACGACACACUCAUCACCCACCUUAGCACUAACAAAAGGAUCAAAAAGCUAUGAGGAACAAGAGACCGCCUAUGGAGAGCGACUUGUUUCAGUUUUUACUAUAAAGACAGGUUAAGUAAUAAUCACACUUAAUUAGAAUAAUAAUGUCCAUUAGUAUUAUCAUUUAGCAGCCCAUAAACGUCGAAUCAGUUAAAUAGCAAAGUCCAUGGCAAGAAUUUCAAAUAAAAAAAAUAUAAAAAAAUCCAUGGCAAGAAUAAUUGGGCCAAAUUCUCAUUUUGCUAAUAUGGAAAGUUAAUUUGGUUUGUUAUUCAUAUAGAACGUGCAUGACGAGUCCAUUAUAAAAUUGGUAAUCUCACUACUAGAAAACAGUCAGGGGAUGAAAUGAAUUCCGCUUAAGUAACAAAAUUUAUCGGAUGAGUACUUAAGGUCUUGUACGGUUUGCGGAAAAGAAAGUAGUUCAUUUUAUCUUUUUCACGGGAAGGGAAAGAGAAGGGAAAUAGAAUUCCCGAUGACUUUUUGUUCCGAUAUUUAGUAACAAAUAAUCCGGAAUGUUGUUAAUUUAAAUAAUAAAAUUAUAUAUUGUGAGUAAUAAAUGCAAGAGAAUGAGAUGGGAAAGUGGUUUCUUUAGAUUUUGGAAGGAACAACUUUUCCUCAUAUUUUCCCAAUCUUCAGGAAACUAUUAAUUCCUUUCCUUCAGCAUUCCCAAACGCAAGAAAAAAAAACAAUUUUUCUUACCUGAUGGUUACUUUCCACGAACCGAACAAGGUCUUAGACUACGGAAAAUUUGUCACCUAUGAUUCGUUGCUUAGUGUCUUUAUUAUAUUCAAAUACUUUAAUUUGGAUAUUUUUUUUAUCAGGUAAACAACUUAAAUAUUACAACUUCGUGAGUCGAACUCAUAACCUCUUACUUACUAAGAGGAGAGUAUGUCGCUAGACCAAAUAGUACUGGACAAUCUUGACCAUAUAUAUUAAUGCAUAAAAAAAAUGUAUGGUCUAUCUAAUUCAUGCUUGGAAAGUUUUGGGGUAAUUUUAUGUGGUCCGAUCUUGUCCAGUACGUGAAAACAACACAAAACAACUU
rnacentral:lncRNA from 1 species